rnacentral:rRNA from 1 species
GGCGCAAGCCUGAUCCAGCCAUGCCGCGUGUGUGAAGAAGGCCUUUUGGUUGUAAAGCACUUUAAGCGAGGAGGAGGCUACUUGGAUUAAUACUCUAGGAUAGUGAACGUUACUCGCAGAAUAAGCACCGGCUAACUCUGU